rnacentral:rRNA from 1 species
ACGUACGCUGGCGGCACGCCUAACACAUGCAAGUCGAACGAAGUAGCAAUACUUAGUGGCAGACGGGUGAGUAACAUGUGGGUAUCUGCCCUUCGGCCUGGAAUAACACGGGGAAACUUGUGCUAAUACCAGAUAAGUCUUUACAGAGAAAGCUUUAUGCACCGAUGGAUGAGCCCGCACUUGAUUAGUUAGUUGGUGAGGUAAAAGCUCACCAAGACAAUGAUCAAUAGCUGAUUUGAGAGGAUGAUCAGCCACAUUGGGACUGAGACACGGCCUAGACUCCUACGGGAGGCAGCAGUGGGGAAUCUUAG